rnacentral:misc_RNA from 1 species
UUAAAUGCAAAAUCCAACAUAAAGAUAGAUCUGUUUCGUCACACUUCGAUGAAAAGGUGUCGUCAGAUUAAUCGAAAGUCAGAAUUUAUUCUUUUUGAAUGAAUUUGCUGUUAGUAGUAGCUCUAUGAGAAAAUGUUUCAAGUCUCGAGUGGCUUUGAAAGCACAUCGAUGGUGCGACAUUCUCCUAGGGUUCUCUAGCAUUACACGCUAAAGAAUCCRAGUGCCAGUGAUGUGUGCCUGUUGAGAUUGAGAAAAAUCAAACAUGAAUAUCAAWGAGUGAUUCUACAAGCAAUGAAAUGUCAUUU